GUGACAACAUUCACUGCAGCGCCAUUGUGCUAAAGGGUCGCAGUGUUUUCCAUGCGGACAGAACGGAAGUGGACUCUGUGUACACUCUUCCGGACGCUCAAGCUAAGCUAGCUAUGGAAGAACUGCAUGCAGCUAUCAACAAACAACAGUCUGCACAUCCUUAAGGAGUUUUAAUCAUUGCUGGAGACUUUAACCACUCCAACCUGAGUACUACCAAAGUUUCACCAUAUUGUCUCCUGCUCUACCAGAGGGGACAACACACUCGAUUAGAAUCUUCCAGGCACACAGUGCGCACUUUCGGUUUUGUGGCACACACUUCCGUGUUGGCGGCCAUCUUGCAGUUUUUCGCACGCCUCCCUGUAUUUAAGGACACCCAAGACUUUAACUGGGGGCUAGAUUAUCUCACCGGCUUCCUGCUCUACCAGAGGGGACAACACACUCGAUUGGAAUCUUCCAGGCACACAGUGCGCACUUCUGGUUUUGUGGCACGCACUUCCGUGUUGGCGGCCAUCUUGCAGUUUUUCCCAUGCCUCCCUGUAUUUAAGGACACCCAAGACUUUAACUGGGGGCUAGAUUAUCUCACCGGCUUCCAAAGCCAUGGGCUUCCAAAACCACUCUAGACUGGUUUUUGUUUUGUGUUACUGCUCUGCCCUUCAUAUUUCUGUUCACUGUUUUUUUAUUUUUUGGACUGUUUUUUGGACUGUGUGUUUGCCUUGCCCUGCUUAAAACUUUUCAUAUUAAAGACCGUUUUCACCUAA